GUGAGAGUCACAGAGACUAAUGACCUCUGUUUAAUGACAAAUGGGAACAACGUUGGGAAUAUCAGAAGAGGCUGCUCCUCACUGAUUAAACAACAUGCUCUAAGCCCAGCUGAGAUAGCUCAUUUGCAAGGGUGAGAGGUGAAUUCAGCUUUCAUGUCUAUUUAGUCUUUGAUAUAU
ensembl:misc_RNA